rnacentral:rRNA from 1 species
AGUAACGGCGAGUGAAGCGGGAAGAGCUCAAAUUUGUAAUCUGGCACUUUCAGUGUCCGAGUUGUAAUCUCGAGAAGUAUUUUCCGCGCCGGACCGCAUACAAGUCUGUUGGAAUACAGCGUCAUAGUGGUGAGAACCCCGUAACUGAUGCGGAUGCCCGGUGCUUUGUGAUAUACUUUCGAAGAGUCGAGUUGUUUGGGAAUGCAGCUCAAAUUGGGUGGUAAAUUCCAUCUAAAGCUAAAUAUUGGAGCAAGACCGAUAGCGAACAAGUACCGUGAGGGAAAGAUGAAAAGCACUUUGGAAAGAGAGUUAACAGUACGUGAAAUUGUUGGAAGGGAAACGCUUGAAGUCAGACUUGCUAUUCGGAGUUCAGCCGCAAGGUGUAUUCUUCGAUUCGCAGGCCAGCAUCAGUUUUCGGGGGUGGAAAAUCACGGUUUGAAGGUAGCAACCUCGGUUGUGUUAUAGCUUUCCGUUGGAUUCAUCCUUGGGGACUGAGGAACGCAGUACGCUUUUUGCAAGGCUCUCGAGCUUUUCGUACUUAGGAUGC